AAGAGAGAAGAUAAGAAAAUAAAAGUGUACCAUUCAAGCUUUCACUAACCUGUUGAAAUAUAUUGAAUUUUUAUCUGAUUUCUUCUUAAUUUUCUCCGGAGCUAUGAGUGAGAAGGUGAUGAGAGCUGUAUGCUAUGAAAAUUACGGCGGUCGAUCAGAGGGCAUUAUUAUUUUUGCACGUACAAGUUCCUAUCCCUAAACCUAACAAGGACGCGGUUUUAGUGAAAGUGGAAGCAUCAUCCCCCCCCACCACACACACACCCACACCCACAUUGAUUACAAACUUCAGUUCAGGGUGGCAUAGCAAGGCCUUUCAUGCCCAAAAAGUUCCCUUAUAUACCAGUAACGGAUAUAUCAGGGGAAGUGGGGUCAGAUGUACUGUUCCAAGUUGGUGAUAAAGUAGUUGCCAUGCUCGCCUAUACUGCGAGGGUUCUUACCCAGCAAUUGCGUUUUUUAAAUUUUUUGAGGAGUUCGUGUUUUCUGCAGGUCUUCUCAAACUCACAAAUAUAUUUUUUAAUCCUAAAAUCUAACUUGAUGGCAGUAUGGAGGCGGCCUGGGGGAAUAUGCAGUUGCUCCAGCAAAGCCAACAGUAAAAAGGCCUGAAGAAGUGUCAGCUGUUGAAGGCGCUGGUCUACCCCUAGCAGGACUUACUGCAUUACAUGUCUCAACCAUUCUCGGACAAGGCAGCUAAUGUUUUAGUCAUAGCAGCCUCAGGUUGAGCAGGUCACUACGUAGUUCAAUUAGCAAACCUUGGAAAUAAUCAUGUGACUGCUGCUUGUGGAGCUCGAAACAUCCAGCUUCUGAAGAGUUUGGGUGCAGACGAAGUUCUAGACUUAUAAAAGAUGGUAAAAUGUUGAGGAGUCCAUCAGGGUGCAAGUAUGAUGUUGUAGUAAUAAACCGUGCCACAAGUAAAAUCCCAUGGUUAACAUAUAAGCAAAACCUCUCUGAACAAGGAAGAGUUGUGCAUCUUAACCUGACGGUAAGACAAUGAUCAAGGCUGCUUCUUUGAAGCUCAGCUGCUCCAGGAAGAAGGUUACGUCGUUGAUGAUAUUCCACAAGAACAAAGAAGACCUAGAAUUCCUUGUUGAAUUGGUUAAAUAAGGCAAGUUGAAGACUCCAAGUAUACUUGCAGAGGCAGAACAAGCUUGGGCUAAGAUGAUGGGAGGUCAUGCUACUGGGAAGAUCGUUGUAGAACCAUAAAAUGCAAGAGAUUCGGAUGAAUUCAAGCUGACAAACAUGGAAAAACUUGGUAAUUGUUGUUAGUUUGAGCCUUUGAGGUUUGAGUAUUGUGAUUAUUAUCAAAAACAAAAAAAACAA